CAGGUGGUCAGGUAGAGAAUACCAAGGCGCUUGAGAGAACUCGGGUGAAGGAACUAGGCAAAAUGGUGCCGUAACUUCGGGAGAAGGCACGCUGACAUGUAGGUGAAGCCCCUGCGGGUGGAGCUGAAGUCAGUCGAAGAUACCAGCUGGCUGCAACUGUUUAUUAAAAACACAGCACUGUGCAAACACGAAAGUGGACGUAUACGGUGUGACGCCUGCCCGGUGCCGGAAGGUUAAUUGAUGGGGUUAUCGCAAGAGAAGCUCCUGAUCGAAGCCCCGGUAAACGGCGGCCGUAACUAUAACGGUCCUAAGGUAGCGAAAUUCCUUGUCGGGUAAGUUCCGACCUGCACGAAUGGCGUAAUGAUGGCCAGGCUGUCUCCACCCGAGACUCAGUGAAAUUGAACUCGCUGUGAAGAUGCAGUGUACCCGCGGCAAGACGGAAAGACCCCGUGAACCUUUACUACAGCUUGACACUGAACAUUGAGCCUUGAUGUGUAGGAUAGGUGGGAGGCUUUGAAGCGUGGACGCCAGUCUGCGUGGAGCCAACCUUGAAAUACCACCCUUUAAUGUUUGAUGUUCUAACCUGGCGCCGUGAUCCGGCGUGGGGACAGUGUCUGGUGGGUAGUUUGACUGGGGCGGUCUCCUCCCAAAGUGUAACGGAGGAGCACGAAGGUCAGCUAAUCCUGGUCGGACAUCAGGAGGUUAGUGCAAUGGCAUAAGCUGGCUUGACUGCGAGAGUGACGGCUCGAGCAGGUGCGAAAGCAGGUCAUAGUGAUCCGGUGGUUCUGUAUGGAAGGGCCAUCGCUCAACGGAUAAAAGGUACUCCGGGGAUAACAGGCUGAUACCGCCCAAGAGUUCAUAUCGACGGCGGUGUUUGGCACCUCGAUGUCGGCUCAUCACAUCCUGGGGCUGAAGUAGGUCCCAAGGGUAUGGCUGUUCGCCAUUUAAAGUGGUACGCGAGCUGGGUUUAGAACGUCGUGAGACAGUUCGGUCCCUAUCUGCCGUGGGCGCUGGAGAAUUGAGGGGGGCUGCUCCCAGUACGAGAGGACCGGAGUGGACGCAUCACUGGUGUUCGGGUUGUCAUGCCAAUGGCACUGCCCGGUAGCUAAAUGCGGAAGAGAUAAGUGCUGAAAGCAUCUAAGCACGAAACUUGCCCCGAGAUGAGUUCUCCCUGAGACUAUAAGUCUCCUGAAGGAACGUUGAAGACGACGACGUUGAUAGGCCGGGUGUGUAAGCGCAGCGAUGCGUUGAGCUAACCGGUACUAAUGAACCGUGAGGCUUAACCUUACAACGCCAAA
rnacentral:rRNA from 1 species